rnacentral:rRNA from 1 species
ACUCCUACGGGAGGCAGCAGUGGGGAAUAUUGGACAAUGGGCGCAAGCCUGAUCCAGCCAUGCCGCGUGAGUGAUGAAGGCCCUAGGGUUGUAAAGCUCUUUCACCGGUGAAGAUAAUGACGGUAACCGGAGAAGAAGCCCCGGCUAACUUCGUGCCAGCAGCCGCGGUAAUACGAAGGGGGCUAGCGUUGUUCGGAUUUACUGGGCGUAAAGCGCACGUAGGCGGACUAUUAAGUCAGGGGUGAAAUCCCGGGGCUCAACCCCGGAACUGCCUUUGAUACUGGUAGUCUUGAGUUCGAGAGAGGUGAGUGGAAUUCCGAGUGUAGAGGUGAAAUUCGUAGAUAUUCGGAGGAACACCAGUGGCGAAGGCGGCUCACUGGCUCGAUACUGACGCUGAGGUGCGAAAGCGUGGGGAGCAAACAGGAUUAGAAACCCGUGUAGUCCCA